GUACACUCCUACGGGAGGCAGCAGUGGGGAAUAUUGGACAAUGGGCGCAAGCCUGAUCCAGCCAUGCCGCGUGAGUGAUGAAGGCCCUAGGGUUGUAAAGCUCUUUCACCGGUGAAGAUAAUGACGGUAACCGGAGAAGAAGCCCCGGCUAACUUCGUGCCAGCAGCCGCGGUAAUACGAAGGGGGCUAGCGUUGUUCGGAUUUACUGGGCGUAAAGCGCACGUAGGCGGACUAUUAAGUCAGGGGUGAAAUCCCGGGGCUCAACCCCGGAACUGCCUUUGAUACUGGUAGUCUUGAGUUCGAGAGAGGUGAGUGGAAUUCCGAGUGCAGAGGUGAAAUUCGUAGAUAUUCGGAGGAACACCAGUGGCGAAGGCGGCUCACUGGCUCGAUACUGACGCUGAGGUGCGAAAGCGUGGGGAGCAAACAGGAUUAGAAACCCGUGUAGUCCCAU
rnacentral:rRNA from 1 species